GCUUCUGUAGUUCAAUGGAUAGAAUGCCUCCCUCCGAAGGAGGUGACGCAGGUUCGAUUCCUGCCAGAAGCA
rnacentral:tRNA from 1 species